CUUUUUGAGUCUCAGUAUUUUAUUGAAAUAGCACAUUUACCAAUUAACCAAGAAUACACUAACUGUCGGGGGCGCUUGGGUGGCUCAGUCUUUAAGCAUCUGCCUUUGGCUCAGGUCAUGAUCCCAGGAUCCUGGGAUCAAGCCCCACAUCGGGCUCCCUGCUCUGCUGGGAGCCUGCUUCUUCCUCUCCCACUCCUGCUGCUUGUGUUCCGUCUCUCAAUGGCUGUCUCUCUCUCUGUCAAAUAAAUAAAUAAAAUCUUUAAAAAAAAAAAAAAAGAAUACAUUAACUGUCUUUCCCUGGCAACUCUCCACCCCCAGAAUAUGCAGCACAAUACCAGAGUGACUUCAAAUAUCCUUGAUCAUGAGAACCCACAGAAAUAUGACCAUGUUAUGUGAUUCAACACUCUGAUGGCCUUGAGUUGUUCUUAGGACAGAGCCCAAAUCCUUAAAAGGAUGGUUUGACUCUUGGCUGUCCCUGUAGCCUCAUCUCGUACCACAUGUCUUCCCCCUCAUUCACGACACUCCACUGGUCUUUGGCAUUGAAUAGGCUGCUCCCACUUUUAGAAAUGCUCCUCUCCUCCCUCCCUUUCCUUCAGAAGAACACUCAGCCCUCCCUGACCUGCCUGGCCAGUUCCCCUGCCAUGCCUGAUCAUGGUAUCACAUAACUCCUGCUGGAUCACCUGGCAUAAAUGGAAAACCACGCAUUUAAUUUUGUCUUCCUCACUAGAUGAGAAGUUCCAUGAGGGCAGAGACCACAUCUGCUUUGGCUCCCCACUGUGGCCAGAGCUCCAGCACAAUGCCAGGCAUGUAGCUGACUCCAAUAAAGAAAUGUUGAAGAGAAGAAGAAAGAAGCUGCACCAGACCCCACAGCUUUCCAAGGUCACAUGAAACCCUGAGUUGGCUGCUCUAUGCUAGGUAAGCAUUGCACACAGAAGCCCACCUUCUUCCACAUUGCUUAGGUCUCUCCUACCUCCCCUCUGCAUAUCAGAAAAGCAUAAUUUUAGAUUAAGUUUUGUUGAUAGAUAGUCAUCAUUUAAAAGCUAGUACUUUUUGAUCAGUUCAUUGAGCUAGGCAUUAUUUGACUUUUUUUUUUUUAAAGAUUUUAUUUAUUUAUUUGACAGAGAUAGAAACAGCCAGCGAGAGAGGGAACACAAGCAGGGGGAGUGGGAGAAGAAGAAGCAGUCUCUCAGCAGAGGAGCCUGAUGUGGGGCUCGAUCCUAUAACACCGGGAUCACGCCCUGAGCCGAAGGCAGACGCUUAACCGCUGUGCCACCCAGGUGCUCCGACAUUUAAUUUUCUAAAGAACCUAUUCAAGAAUCAACACUGAUUAUUUCUGUUUUCAGAUAAUGAGACCGAAGCUCAGAAAAGUUAAGUAACUUGCUGAAAAUCACACAGCUAGGACUCGUUAGAGCCGAGGUGCAGCUCUCCCAAGCGGUGCUAGAGUUAGUGCUUGUAACCGUUGGGUCACAUCUCAAAUCCAAGUUGUCCUGUACUUUUCCCCAUUGGCACAGGGUAUCCUGAAUGUGCCCAGUGCUUGGCUCUGCUUCUAAAGCUAAGGGUACAGUGCUGUUCUUUAACUGGAUCUACAGUUGCUGUUUCAUCAAGUUGGGAAAAGCCCUGGACUAAUUGUUAGUAAUCAUAUAAAGUGUUCCAUUUUAAACAGACCUCUUUUUUUUUCAGGUGGGUAAAACUUAAAAAUAAUGAUACUCUGUUUUAAAUUGCCAGUAGGCAACAUGUAAUUAUUGUAUAACUUCUAAACUUGGUGUUCAAUAUUAUUUAAAUUGUGUCCUCAUCAGUCAGAUAAUUUUUAGUGAAAAAGAGAGUGAGGCUUUUUUUUUUUUUACACAGAUGGUCUAUGGGAUUACUGAUUAGAAAACAAACAAACGAA
ensembl:lncRNA